UACGUAGGUGGCAAGCGUUGUCCGGAAUUAUUGGGCGUAAAGCGCGCGCAGGCGGUCCUUUAAGUCUGAUGUGAAAGCCCACGGCUCAACCGUGGAGGGUCAUUGGAACCUGGGGGACUUGAGUGCAGAAGAGGAGAGCGGAAUUCCACGUGUAGCGGUGAAAUGCGUAGAGAUGUGGAGGAACACCAGUGGCGAAGGCGGCUCUCUGGUCUGUAACUGACGCUGAGGCGCGAAAGCGUGGGGAGCAAACAGG
rnacentral:rRNA from 1 species